AUGGCUGACACACAAAUGUUUGUGUGAACAGAUGACGUUGGGUUGCUUCCUAGUGACAGUCAACCACAAAAUAAAUAGAUAUUUAAAAAAAUGGACACAUAUAAACGUUGGUAGGAAGUGAGCAGCACAAACAAACAGCACAUUUUUGUGUCAACUGUGCAGCACCAGGCCAAGAUCAAGUCUCUGACGGACUAUGCAGAACAUGGAGCAGAAGAAGAAGAAGAGACAGCUGGAGGAGAGCCAGGACGCUCUGACCGAGGAGCUCGCUAAGCUGCAGGCUCACGAGAAAAGACACGAGAUGUCAGGAGAGGAGAAGGAGAAGGAGGACAUCAGCAGACACGGAGACAUAAAGAAAACUCCGGAGGAGCAGCUGGAGAACCACAGAGAGGCUCACCACAGACAGCUGAGCUGACUGAGAGACAAGAUCGAGGACGAGCAGAGGAGGCUGGACAAGCUCACAGAACAGUUACUCUGCCGUUAAAAAGCGCCCAAUCAGAGCUUAGCGAGCACCUCCUCUCAGUCUGAACCAGGGUCUGCUGCUGGAGCAGGAGAGGCUGUCAGACUACGACAAACUGAAGACUGAAGAGCAGGAGAAGGACGCCAGAAACUCAUGCUGCUGAAUGAGCAGAGGGAGCAGACCAGAGAGGACCUGGAGGGCCUGGAGGGCCUGGAGGGCCUGGAGGGUCAGGGUACCAAAGUAUCAUUUAUUUGAAAGGGCAUUUAAACGUACAGAAAAC